GGUGAACGCUGGCGGUAGGCCUAACACAUGCAAGUCGAACGGCAGCACAGUAAGAGCUUGCUCUUACGGGUGGCGAGUGGCGGACGGGUGAGGAAUACAUCGGAAUCUACUUUUUCGUGGGGGAUAACGUAGGGAAACUUACGCUAAUACCGCAUACGACCUACGGGUGAAAGCAGGGGAUCUUCGGACCUUGCGCGAUUGAAUGAGCCGAUGUCGGAUUAGCUAGUUGGCGGGGUAAAGGCCCACCAAGGCGACGAUCCGUAGCUGGUCUGAGAGGAUGAUCAGCCACACUGGAACUGAGACACGGUCCAGACUCCUACGGGAGGCAGCAGUGGGGAAUAUUGGACAAUGGGCGCAAGCCUGAUCCAGCCAUACCGCGUGGGUGAAGAAGGCCUUCGGGUUGUAAAGCCCUUUUGUUGGGAAAGAAAAGCAGCAGGUUAAUACCCCGCUGCUCUGACGGUACCCAAAGAAUAAGCACCGGCUAACUUCGUG
rnacentral:rRNA from 1 species